rnacentral:rRNA from 1 species
UACGUAGGGUCCGAGCGUUGUCCGGAAUUACUGGGCGUAAAGAGCUCGUAGGUGGUUUGUCGCGUUGUCCGUGAAAACUCACAGCUCAACUGUGGGCGUGCGGGCGAUACGGGCAGACUGGAGUACUGCAGGGGAGACUGGAAUUCCUGGUGUAGCGGUGAAAUGCGCAGAUAUCAGGAGGAACACCGAUGGCGAAGGCAGGUCUCUGGGCCGAUACUGACGCUGAGGAGCGAAAGCGUGGGGAGCGAACAGG